AGUGAUUUUCAAGGUGUCUGUUUCCAUGGAUGAAAGCUAGGUGAAAAUCGAGGCUUCCUCUUUGAAAUAAGUCAGUGAGGCUGUGGAAGUGUCUUUUCUCGGGUUCAAAAAAGUGGUGAUUCUUGACUGCGUGCGUGCGUGCGUGCGUGCGUGCGUGCUUGUGUGUUUGUGUGCGCAUGCGCAUAUAUGUAAAACUGUGGUUAUAAGCCGGAAGUAAACUUGGGUGUCUUCUUCAGUCAGACUCCACCAUAUAUCUUGAGACAGAUUGUUUCACUGAAACUGGAUCAUACCAGUUUUGUCUACUACAACACUGGUUGGCCAGAUUGUUGACAGUGACUGAAGACAUACAAUGAAGAAAAGACAUUAUCAUCAACAAAUGGGCUAAUGUGUUCAACAGAACAUAGGUGGCUAAGAGAAUCAAAAUACAUCUUUAGAAUUCAAACUACCAUCACCAUGGCUUGUGCGAUGAAUGCACUCAGGACUGACUUUUCAUUAUUAUCCCUUCAAAUCUCGACAAGACCUUAAAUGAUAGGUCAGAAGGCAUGGUUUACAAACACUCUACUCUUCCUAAACUUCAGUGUUAGAAAAUGCCUAUGGAAAGAAGGAGAGAGGGGCUUUGGUUGAUGUGACGAAUUGCUCAUAUUUCAGCACUCUUUGGACCCCACUAAUUGGAAAAGGUAUUCACACUUAUAUAGCACAGUCUAUGACAUCAUGUGGACUUGGCCUUGGAGGAACCUGUGAAGGGAACAACUUUAUCAAUGACAAGUCCCAGAAGCUUUCAGAAGCAACAAGAGCAACUCAACCAGUUGUAGGAGAACUAGUGCUAAUUAAAAUCCUGACCUCUGUUUCUAUUCUGUUUUCUAUUUAUACGAAAAUAUUCUGUGAAGUUGGGAAAAUAAUGGGAUACAGUGAACCUGAGGAACUUUUUUCUUACUGUAAAUGAGCAAAGGAGGUUUAAAUCAAAACAGACAUAAAUAAAACCCAAAACAAAAGGAUAGACAAGCUGAAACAAGUGUAUAUCUGCUAAGAAUUUAACAUGCUUCCUCCAUGGUUAAUCUUAACGAACAUGAUGGGAUUUAGAAUCAUUUGAGAAACAGAGUUAUGUCAACUCUGCCAUUACUUCUGCAAUGAUUGAUUUUUAUAAAGAUACAGAAACUCAUAAAAUUACAAGAGACUUUGAUUCUUGCUUUAGUGUUUACUUGGGAUAUUGCCAAAGCAUGGCCAUUUUGUUAAGAAGAAAGCGAGAAUUCUUGGCAAGUUGUGUUUUAUAUAAGGAGGCCAAACAACUUCUAAAACUCGUUGAUUCAUUUGAGACGUGAUCUUACUGCGAAGCCCAGGAUGGACUGGAACUCAGUAGAAGGAUCAAUUUUGGCUCAAAUGCAUAAAAGUCCUCCUGCCUAUGUCUCUCUGGUGUUUGAAUUAAACACUCCUAGCUUUACAUUCCUAGCUUUAAAGUUUUAAUACUGUAAUUUCUGUUUUGAUAACAGAAUAAUGAACCACAUCAUCAAUGAGUUUUACAAUUUUUGCUUUAAAAUCUUAAAGAUGCCUUAUUACUUACUCUGAAGUUUUCCUUCAUAGGAUUUAGAGUCCUCAGACUUUGAGAGUUGCAUGUGUAAGCGUAAAUCUCUCUCUCUCUCUCUCUCUCUCUCUCUCUCUCUCUCUCUCUUUCUCUCUCUCUCUCUCUCUCUCUCUCAAUCACCUAUCUAUGUGUGUACAUAUUGGUUUUAUUUAAUUCUACCUGUAUAUAUUAUCACUUUAUUAUUUUGUCUUCUCAAUAAUAAUACACAAAAUUUAUUUUCAAAUAUGUUUCAUCAUUCAAACAUUUCUCUAAAUUGUAAAUUCACUGUCAAUGUGAAAAUGUCUAUCUUUUGAUUGAAUAGAAAUUCUGCAAUUCCCUAUCAGACACCAGCUCUUGAGUGUUUACUUUAUUGUCAGUUUUUCAUUGUUGUCAAUUGUAUUGUAGCACAUAUCUGUGAAAAUGGAUUUCCUUAGGAAGACAUUUUAAAACAAGCAUUAUAAGAAUGUUAUCUAUGUCUUCAGAUUUCUGAAUUUUUCUCAUUCCACAGUCUACACUCUAUAUAGGUCAGCCUGAGAGAGAAAAAGACCUGUUUCUACCCAGAAAUUAGAGUGAAGAGAAGCAAACAUCAUAUUUUACAUCAAAGUGAAACCCAAAGAUAUGUAGACGGUUUUUUCUGAAUCACUUCAUGUGGAGUUAGAAAUCACUGAAGUGUAGUAGAAUCACUCCUAACUUAACGAGUAUGCUCCAGCUUCCUCUAAGUUUGGGGGGAAGGGUGAAACCAUAACUAAUUUUCCCAUAAGAUCAAGUUAAGUAUACUGACAAUAUUAUACAUGCUGCUCCUGUUUCCAUAACAACCUAUAAAUAUACUCUGCUAGUAAAUAUAUGUAAACCACCGUGUUCAUAUUCCUAGACUGAGUUUGGCAUCUUCCUUUUUCAGUUGGAGUUUUAGUGACUUUUAAAUAGACACAUUCUGAGAUUUAUUUUUCUAUUCCUUUCUGGUUUUCUGGUUUUCCUUGAGCAAUAUUUAAAAGACCCAUUGGAUUAGUUCUCAAAUGUUUUUCCUCAUAUCAACCUCAAAAUAAUAGCAACUUUGUUUACCUCAGCUAGCAGCUUGAUAAAAGUCAUCCAAUGUGACUACUGAGAGUGACAAUUAAUGAUAAACCUACUUAAGCCAACAUGUAAACUAAUAGUAGCUUUCAAGAGAGCCUUGAAUAUAUAUAGAAUAUAAACCAUAUUUGUAACAAUUUUAAUAAAGUAUGUAAAUAUUUUAAUUGAAUCAUAGAAUUAAGUAAAUAUGUAUAUCUCUUGUAUGUUUUCCUUAUUCUUAAUUAGGGUUUCUAUUGUUGUGAUUAAAAAAAAGAAGAAAACAAAAAACAAAAACAAAACAAAACAAAACAAAACAAAACAAAAAAACCCUGGUCAAAAGCAACUUGAGGAAGUAAAGAUUUAUUUUGCUUAUAUUUUCAAGUAACUGGGAGAAGUCAGGAAAUUGCUCAGGGCAGCAACAUGGAAGCGGGAACUGAAGAAGAGACCGUGGACGUACACUGGCUACUGGCUUACCUUCCGUGCCUUUCAGAGCCAUUUUUUAAAUAUCCUAGAUCCAUCUAAAAUAGGCCAGGUUCUGCUACAUUUUUCAGUUGAGACCUCUCUGCAAAUGACUCCAGCUUGUGUCAAGGUGACAAAAAUCUAGCCGGCACAUAUUCAAACACAAGCAAAUAAGUUUAAAUGCUACCAAAGUCAUCAUUUUUUAAUGUGUCUUGCAUUAUCUGUUAUUUGACACAUAUAGGUUAUACAUACUCACAUCUGAAUUCAUUUGGGAAAUAAAUUUAACAUUGGCACUGCUUAUGUUUCUCUUAGCGUCAAUAAUCCAUUCUUGCUCAUUAUUGUCCUGUCCUAUUCCAGUCACAAUGACUAGAGUUAGGGUGUAAUAGUAGUUAGGGUGUAAUAGCACUGCCACUUUUAGUUCAUGCAAAAUAAGUUGCUGUGUAGAUGUGUGCACCCAUUUCUUUAUGGGGAGAGUAUGGGGAGAGUUGUGAAGCCAUAUAGUGGCACAUUUUACAAAUAGAUUUUUUUUUUUAUUAACUUGAGUAUUUCUUAUAUACAUUUCGAGUGUUAUUCUCUUUCCCGGUUUCCGGGCAAACAUCCCCCUAAUCCCUCCCCCUCCCAUUCUUUAUGGGUGUUCCCCUCUCCAUCCUCCCCCCAUUGUUGCCCUCCCCCCAUAGAUUAUUUUAAAAAAAAUCUGUGAGCCAUUAAUCCUCUGCCUUAGGUUCAUAAGGCAGUUUUCACUGAUUUACACACUUGGCACUCCUUGGUACAGUUAGUCAUUUUAGUACCUUUUGUGCACUGCUGUCCUGCUUGGCAGUGGUAAUUGACGAUCAGUGCUUUAGUAUAAGCAUGAUGACAUGGGUCUCUUAGGCAUUCUGAACUACCUAAGGCUCCCUGAACAUCUAUUUUAAGGUUAUGUGUAUUCUACUUCCCUAACUACUUUAGGAAUCCUUUCAAUAUUGAAAUGUUGAAAUCUAGUCCCUACACAUGUGUGCACACUCAUAAUGACAUGGACAACCCCCCCAACACACACAGACACAGCCAUACACACAUUUUAAAAAGAUUCCACAAAGAUUUGGUGCCAAAUAACUGUCUCUAUGUUUAGAAAUUAGUAUAAAUAGGAAAAGUGAGGAAAUGUUCUUUAAAGUAAUAAAAAUAUUCAUUCUAGAAAAAAACAUCCAGUUGCCUCAUAUAUUUGCCACAUAAUGUAUAUUUUGUGUUUUAUUUUUCCUAUUAGUAGGAGACAUGCAUUUUUAACAUCUUUUAUUCAAAUAAUUCUACGAAGCUCUAAGGU